GACUAUCUGCUUGUUAAAUUACUCCCACUGUAGAGAACAAAAAACCAAUUUGCUGAAAUCUUUGUUUCCCUCUAUGACCCUAUCUUUAUCUGUAAAAUCUCAGCUCUGAAUCAAAGUCACAAUCCAGCUUUUCCAUCACUGGGGAACAGAGCAUUUACGCUCAUCUGAAACCUCAUCUGCCCAGCCUGUGAAAUAAGGCUGGCCAUCCAUUCUCACAGAGGAGCCAACUGGAGGUGGUGUCACAUUAGAACACCCUCAUCUCUGAAGAUCUUUGCAUUAAGGAACUCUACCUUUGCCCUUGAUCAACUGAACUCAGAGUUAUGAUAAACUCAGAGACCUACAUGGAACAAUGUUUUCUACGUCUUAUCUCCCAUGAGUUGUUCAUGUCAGGGAGUAUAGUCCACCAAGUAAACACUAAGCAGUGUCUCAAAAGCAUCGGAUACUAAAAGGAGGACAUGCAGGGCUGGGUGUGGACCGCCAUUCAGUGCCUUAGUGCAAAGAAGAAAGAGAUCAGACAUCAAUAUUCCUGAUCAGUCCACCAAGAAGAAACUGGGAC